rnacentral:lncRNA from 1 species
UUCCCCAUUGGCCAUCCGCGCACGCCAAUCAUUUUGUGUGCGCGCGAAUUCUGAGUCCCAUUGGUGGACCUUGCCCCGCCCCCUCGGCUUGUGGGUGAGUGGGCGUGUCUUGGGGCGGGCCGCCAGUGGUGGGGGUCUCGGACACGGGGCAAGCCGAGAGUAGUCGUACGCACGGCCGCUGUCUACGGAGGCGGAUGAGGGGCGGCGCGAGACUAUUUGACACACUGUGGGGAUUUUUGGUCUGCUGGAAAUGCUUACUGGAGAGCAAUGCAAGGUAUGUUCUUACCCCCCCUCCCCCAAUUGAUCCCAAAAGAUGCUCGAUGCAAAUCUUAAAAAUGAGGGAAAGGGGUGUAAAACAUGGGAUACUAUGCCAAAUGCAACUGCCCUCCUCCUCAUUACUCUCUGAGUUUAGUAAGCUGCCUGCUGUCAUAUUUCACAAAACCAUAGAAUGUUAUUUUUGGCAAGAACCUCAGAAAGAGCGUUCGUCCUUCUUAACAGUUGUUGUUUUGAAAACAAGCAUAUGUCUGGCAUCACCAUGUAUUUGUAAAAGGGGAAAAAAGUGAUCUAUUUUCAAAACAUCUAGCGUAAUCGUGUUUUCUGCGGAAUCAAGUGUUAAAUGUUUUGGAAGCUUAAUCUUGAUGUCGUCAUGCUGGUUGUCAAGGUUGAAAUGACGAGCAUGGUUACCUGUUACCCUUGUAAAUGCUCAUCUGUAUCUGUCAAGAGUUGUCUUACAAGGAGUUAUUGUGUGUGCCUGUCCAGAGGACAAUCAGCCUGUAGUAAUUUUCAAAGCUA